GAUGAACGCUGGCGGCGUGCCUAAUACAUGCAAGUCGAGCGAACAGAUAAGGAGCUUGCUCCUUUGACGUUAGCGGCGGACGGGUGAGUUACACGUGGAUAACCUACCUAUAAGACUGGGAUAACUUCGGGAAACCGGAGCUAAUACCGGAUAACAUAUUGAACCGCAUGGUUCAAUAGUGAAAGGCGGCUUUGCUGUCACUUAUAGAUGGAUCCGCGCCGUAUUAGCUAGUUGGUAAGGUAACGGCUUACCAAGGCAACGAUACGUAGCCGACCUGAGAGGGUGAUCGCCCACACUGGAACUGGAACACGGUCCAGACUCCUACGGGGGGCAGCAGUAGGGAAUCUUCCGCAAUGGGCGAAAGCCUGACGGGGCAACGCCGCGUGAGUAAUAAAGGUCUUCGGAUCGUAAAACUCUGUUAUCAGGGAGAAACAAAUGUGUAAGUAACUGUGCACAUCUUGACGGUACCUGAUCAGAAAGCCACGGCUAACUACGUG
rnacentral:rRNA from 1 species